ACGGGAGGCAGCAGUGGGGAAUAUUGGACAAUGGGGGAAACCCUGAUCCAGCGACGCCGCGUGAGUGAAGAAGUAUUUCGGUAUGUAAAGCUCUAUCAGCAAGAAAGAAAAUGACGGUACUUGACUAAGAAGCCCCGGCUAACUACGUGCCAGCAGCCGCGGUACUACGUAGGGGGCAAGCGUUAUCCGGAUUUACUGGGUGUAAAGGGAGCGUAGACGGCGAUGCAAGUCUGAAGUGAAAGCCCGGGGCUCAACCCCGGAACUGCUUUGGAAACUGUAUAGCUAGAGUGCAGGAGAGGUAUGUGGAAUUCCUAGUGUAGCGGUGAAAUGCGUAGAUAUUAGGAGGAACACCAGUGGCGAAGGCGACAUACUGGACUGUAACUGACGUUGAGGCUCGAAGGCGUGGGGAGCAAACAGGAUUAGAUACCCUGGUA
rnacentral:rRNA from 1 species